ACUCACGACGAACCUGUAUAUACAACGUAAAAAUACGAUUCAUCAGUUUUAUCAUAUAGCUUGAGAACAACAUUAUCUACUUAAGUAAAAGUGUGUGUAAUCAUUCUUCGUUGCUGACGAAUUUAUCGUUUUCGACGGGGAAUGAAUUUUUUGUUAGUAUGAAAUAAAUGCUUGUUCGAAUAGGAUCUUGCUUUUAAUUUUUCGUUUACAGUUCAGGUGUGGAGUAUUCUACGUGCUUUUCAUAUCGCUUUGGCCGUUUUUUUGUUAUCGUUAUUUCUUGCGGUGCAGUUUGAACGUAAUCUAUGCAGAUAAUUUUUGUCUGGGUGACUAAUUAAUAAGUGUUCCGUUAAAAAAAAAUAAUAAUACGGGAGAGUGUACAAUUUAAGUGAUAAGAAAGUGUUCUUUGUUUAGUUUAAAUAUAAGGUUUAAAUUAUAAUAGAGAUAUACGGUCUGGACUUCUUCAGCUGGUGUUUAUUUUGGACAAUCACGACGCAGUAAACGUCGCUGAGGCUUCUCGAGGGCGCGAAGGUGUCAGGUUUGGCCGACUGUAACCAAUACUCACGACGAACCUGUAUAUACAACGUAAAAAUACGAUUCAUCAGUUUUAUCAUAUAGCUUGAGAACAACAUUAUCUACUUAAGUAAAAGUGUGUGUAAUCAUUCUUCGUUGCUGACGAAUUUAUCGUUUUCGACGGGGAAUGAAUUUUUUGUUAGUAUGAAAUAAAUGCUUGUUCGAAUAGGA